rnacentral:rRNA from 1 species
GACGAACGCUGGCGGCGUGCUUAACACAUGCAAGUCGAACGGAAAGGCCCUGCUUUUGUGGGGUGCUCGAGUGGCGAACGGGUGCGUAACACGUGAGUAACCUGCCCUUGACUUUGGGAUAACUUCAGGAAACUGGGGCUAAUACCGGAUAGGAGCUCCUGCUGCAUGGUGGGGGUUGGAAAGUUUCGGCGGUUGGGGAUGGACUCGCGGCUUAUCAGCCUGUUGGUGGGGUAGUGGCUUACCAAGGCUUCGACGGGUAGCCGGCCUGAGAGGGUGACCGGCCACAUUGGGACUGAGGUACGGCCCAGACUCCUACGGGAGGCAGCAGUGGGGAAUAUUGCACAAUGGGCGGAAGCCUGAUGCAGCAACGCCGCGUGCGGGAUGACUGCCUUCGGGUUGUAAACCGCUUUCGCCUGUGACGAAGCGUGAGUGACGGUAAUGGGUAAAGAAGCACCGGCUAACUACGUG